UGUAACUCGUAACUCACGACUUCAAAACCACGACUCUGAACUGGGAGUACAUCGAUCUAGUACGAGUUCACGGGUGGGAAGUCACGGGUUUGACUGCCAUUCCAGUGCACUUUCACCGGUAGAAGGUUGUAAAAACACGGGUUACUGGCUGCCUGGAACGCAUAUGGUUGUGAGUCGUGGUUUUGAAGUCUUAACUCACGAGUUUAAAAACCUGCCUGGAACGCAGCAUUACUCUCGGUCUCUUUGUUUGCUCAUCGACAUUACGAGGUCAUGUACACUGUGGUCAACUUUGUGGACGAUGAAGAGGUUUCUGGGUAAAGAUGAUAGAAAUAUAAUGAAGUAACAGUGAAAGCUAAAACAUCAGACUGAUCCAGACACUGAAGAAAUUGAUGUCACUGCAAUCUGGCCAAAAUGAUACAACAAUAUUGAACUAGCCUACUGUAAUGAAGCUGCAGAACAACACAGAGACUCUGAGGACAUCAACACAGAAAAUGAAGGUUCCAAAGAGAUGUCUGUCCAGAUGAGGGUGCAUCAACUUUACCUUUGCUGACAACAGUUAACUUAACUCAAACCAUUUAAGGAAAUCGGUUGCCUUAAACCAUUAAGUUUUAAAAAACAUACAUUUGAGUACUGUGAACUUAAGUCUUGUGCAAUUAUGCACU